rnacentral:pre_miRNA from 1 species
GUUGGCACUGUCCGGGUUUCACGACGACCGAACACUUCAUUUAAAAAGGUUGUUCGUUGUCGUUGAAACCUGAACGUGGCCUUC